CCGUGGGGGUGCCGGAAAUAGUUUCCCUAUACGUCCAGCCCGGUCCAGGAGCUGAAACCAUUAAUGCGUCGCUGCUUUUUGUAGUUUAAAUCGGGCAGUAUGUUUUCUAGUGAAAACGGCUGCAGCAUUCGUCAGUUUUUCUCUCCUUAUGUAGACCAGCUCAGGCCCUUACCAUCCAUAAUUUGUUGUUGUUGUUGUUGAGAAUUUUUAAUAUAUUCAUAAUGAUUGCAACAUAAAUUGAUUGGUUAGCAACAUCCAUAUUGAUUGCCUAAAAAUGCUUUAAGUUAUUUACUUUAGUACUUAGAUAUUUUGGGAAGACAUCUGGAAUGUCAUCUGCACACUUGCAAAAUGAUUGCAGAAAUUCAGGGAGAGGACCUGCAGAUCUGAAAUAAAAGUCUACGGGACUUACGAUCCGGAGACAAACAAUACAAUAAUGCAUUUAUUGUACAUGUCCAUUUCCCUCAGUUACAAAGUGACUGCGCAUAUACGAGUACGAUGAUCUCUCGCAUCUCUCCACUUCUUGCAUUGGUGUUUUCGUCUGCUGCCUUCUCAUUGCGCUGCGCUACAAACUGUAAUUUUGGUGACAGCAUAAAGUGCAGCACGAAAAUAUGCAGCGGCGAGAAAUCUCUGUGCGGAGUGACAUUUGAUAUACGGGGCAUAAUCUACUCCAUCUUCGAUUGCGGAUCACUGAUGGUGGCCCUAGUACCUCCGGUGUGUAUAAUACCGAGCAAUCAAGUCAGAAAUAUUUAUUCAUGUGUGUGCAAUACCGACAAUUGCAACCAGAUCAGCCGAAUACCAGAUGAAUGGUCCCUGUACAAUUUGUCAAAGGGUCGCCCAGAACGAGUUCCGCGUUCCACUACUGCAAGCAGUUCGACCGAGAGCGAGGAUGGCAUCAGCACCGAGGAGAAUGCAAGCAAGGCGGAAAAGGUCAAAUUUAGCAAUAUAAUUAUCGGUGCAGCUGGUGUGUUUAUGCUACGCUUGUGGAGGAUUUUAUGAGCGACUUGCCAUUGCUUCAUUACCUGCGUAGAACGCACACGCAAGUGCCAAAAUUCCCGUGUUGCCUUAUUCUGAUGGCUCGUUAAGGUCGAGAGACAAUGUCACGGUAUGUAUUGGCUUUUCUCAUUACCGCCCGGGAAUGGCGUUCGCCACAGAGAUUAUGGCGAUCUGGUGACCAUUUCGACCCAAAGAAUUGGUGGCCGCAGCCUGCCCUCGUCGCCCGGGCAUCAGCACUUAUGGAGAUCGAUUACUUCAUCGUUUAUUGACACUGUCAAUAAAUGGCAAGCCACAGAGGAUAAAAGCAGGAAACGGUGCGGGGCGUCUAAAGAAUUUAGCAAAAGAGUUUCCCAGGGGGUUUCCUAAAGAGUUUCCCAGGGGCAUCUAAAGCAUUUAGCAAAUAGGCUGCGUUUCCGGGUGGAUUUGCGCUGUUAGACGUCUAAUCUAAAUUCGUUGGCCUUCUUCUCUGGAGGUCAAACACCGUGUAACGUUUUUCUCCUGGCUGUACUGAUCGAUUCGCAUUAUGGACUGGCGCGAACCCUACGCUGAGUACAGCCCUGGGAAUGGGAAUCUACAAGUCCAGAGUGCGGACGUCUGACUUAUUUUUGCUGAAAUUUCCGACGUGUUUUAACUGCACGGUGGAGGAAACACUUCCUGCUGUGAUCUGGCAGAUCCGGAUAAAACAAAAUUAGGAUCAAGCGAUUCGAGAAAUGUCGGAUAAGUUGCAUUCAGUUCGGGAAAUACUGGGUCGAAGGAAAGAACUCAAAGAACUCAGUUUCAUACAGUAGGUACCGUAUAAUGCUUAUGUAUUGCAUAUGCUGCAUAUGUAUUGCGCAUUUGCUAUUGUCUUUAUUAACCUUAGAUUAAAUGGAAGUGUUUCAUAAAAUAAGUAAGUACGAGGUACAUUCAUCCAGACACUGUUAUUUAUUCACUGCUGGAUCAGUCUCGUUUUACUGGCUAAUUUCUCAACGAAGGAAAGAACUCAGUUUCAUACAGUAGGUACCGUAUAAUGCUUAUGUAUUGCAUAUGCUGCAUAUGUAUUGCGCAUUUGCUAUUGUCUUUAUUAACCUUAGACUAAAUGGAAGUGUUUCAUAAAAUAAGUAAGUACGAGGUACAUUCAUCCAGACACUGUUAUUUAUUCACUGCUGGAUCAGUCUCGUUUUACUGGCUAAUUUGUUGUCUCGUGUCGCUCUGUUCCGGACCCGGCAUAAAUAUAAAUAAAUCGC